rnacentral:rRNA from 1 species
UACAGAGGUCUCAAGCGUUGUUCGGAUUCAUUGGGCGUAAAGGGUGCGUAGGUGGUGCUGUAAGUCAGGUGUGAAAUCCCGGGGCUCAACCCCGGAACUGCACUUGAUACUGUAGUGCUUGAGGACUGGAGAGGAGAUCGGAAUUCAUGGUGUAGCAGUGAAAUGCGUAGAUAUCAUGAGGAAGACCAGUGGCGAAGGCGGAUCUCUGGACAGUUCCUGACACUGAGGCACGAGGGCCAGGGGAGCAAACGGG